rnacentral:rRNA from 1 species
AGUGAACGCUGGCGGUAGGCCUAACACAUGCAAGUCGAACGGCAGCACAGUAAGAGCUUGCUCUUACGGGUGGCGAGUGGCGGACGGGUGAGGAAUACAUCGGAAUCUACUUUUUCGUGGGGGAUAACGUAGGGAAACUUACGCUAAUACCGCAUACGACCUACGGGUGAAAGCAGGGGAUCUUCGGACCUUGCGCGAUUGAAUGAGCCGAUGUCGGAUUAGCUAGUUGGCGGGGUAAAGGCCCACCAAGGCGACGAUCCGUAGCUGGUCUGAGAGGAUGAUCAGCCACACUGGAACUGAGACACAGUCCAGACUCCUACGGGAGGCAGCAGUGGGGAAUAUUGGACAAUGGGCGCAAGCCUGAUCCAGCCAUACCGCGUGGGUGAAGAAGGCCUUCGGGUUGUAAAGCCCUUUUGUUGGGAAAGAAAAGCAGCAGGUUAAUACCCCGCUGUCCUGACGGUACCCAAAGAAUAAGCACCGGCUAACUUCGUG